AAGGCAGGAUGAAUAAAUGGGGCCAGAUUAAAUUGUCUGUAAAUGAUACAUUCGGGAGAAACCCUGGCCCUUAGAGCUUCCUCAUCAAAGCCCCUCACCUGAAUAGGUGAGUGCCUCCUAAAGGGUGAGUGCCAGUUUUUACCCGAUUUUACAUAUUUUUGAUCCUAUUAUUUGAAUAACUUGAAAAAUAAACACCAGUAAAAGGAGGACAGUAAUAUCAGCGCUUCCAGCCAACAGAAGAGAGGAGCAUUUGCGGAGAUCCAUCACCCGCUUUUAAGUGAACGCUUUGACCCUGCAGCCAAGGGCCUCUGAGCUCGCAGAGGAGCUAUGAGACGUGGCGGUGGGAGCGUGGGAAUGAGGGACGGGGGGGCCGUCUCUGGACCCCGCAAUGGGAAUCAUGCCAAGAGAGGCUCCACGCAGAGACUCGGAGGUCAGGAGAGGCCUAUUCUGCCCAGUGGCCUCUGGGCAGCCAAGGGUGGGCCUGGGGUGGAUGCAGCCUGUGUCUGAGGUGUUUGGGGGUCAGCAGGGAUUUGAAAAGCCUUCUUCCUCUACCCAAGAUCCGAAGGCAGCUCUUGGGAUGACCAUGGAAUCUUGGCCCACUGAAAGGUCUGGCCCAGCUUCGCUGUCUGGCACUUCACUGUCUCUGAGUGAGUCUCAACUGGGGAAGUUUGGACUUCCAGGGACACAUGGCGAUGUCUGCAGGCAUUCUGGGUUCUCACACGGAGGGGGAGCUACUGCUGCGUCUAGCAGAAUCAGCAGAUGCUGCUGAACACCCUAGAGUGCAUGGGGCAGCCCCCCAAAAGAAAUGACCCAGCCCCCCAUGAACAGCAGAGGGUUGACAAGUCCUGCCUUGGAGACUUUGGUGGCAGUUCUUAAACCUACGAUGCUGGCCCUUCAAGUGCUGAAAGAUACUGUUUCUGAAAACAGUGCCUGGGGAGCCAGCCCUUCCCCCGCGCCGCCAGCCACCCCACAGGUCAGGGGCAGUGACGUGGACGGGGCCAGGAGAUUGUUGCCAGCUGUGAAUGGACAGAGCAGUGCGAGGAGAAGGGAGCCAGCCCGGCCCUCCCGCCACACGGGACCCGAAACCGCUCAGUGCAGCAAGGCCAUGGCCACGUGGAGCCAGCAGAGCUGCUGUGCGCGGACCAGACAUUCUCCAAGACAUGGGGCUGCGUGAUUGGACCAGAGCCCUCAGUGCAGCUCAUCCGAAAUGGACUGAAGUUGGAUGAAUGUAGCCCCGGAGAGCAAAGCUGGGCCUGCCUAAGACGGGACCCCUGACCCUCCCACAUGAAAGCCACUGGCCCUCACGGGACCACCACCAGGGUGCUUCACGGGGCGUUAGGCAGGCAGCGCCUGUUAACAGCUGCAGAGUCUCUGUCCGCCUCCUAACAUGUUCCCCACAUGCAGAAGAGCAGCUGCUCCAUCACCCAGGCCAGCGCGCACACAAAAGGAGAUGGAGGAUUUGUCUCUAGUCCUUGCCUGCUGUUGAGCGUGAAUGUGAGUCUCCAGAAGAAUGCAGGCAGGGAGAGGCUUGUUUCCUUGGGUAUGGUCUCCCCACCCCCAAGAGCCCUCCCCCUGCAGACACCUGGCUUCUAGACCUUCCCCCAGCCCAGGUCCCCGUUCAUGCUGAUCCAGCCUCCCGCCUGCCUCCUCCAUCUCCCAGACCUCCUGCAGUAAGUUGGAGCCGUGUGGCUGGAUGGGGCAUAUGGGCCACAGGAACAGAAGUGGCACGUGGGGUGCAGGCUGUGAAUGCCAUGCACUUCCUUCUACUCUUGACAAGUCUUCUUUAGCAAACGUUGCAGGACAUUCAGUCCAGAUGAAGAGGCUGCGCGGGGGCAGACCGCCCUUAGCUGGGUCGUGGAGAGGAGGGCUUCCUGCCCAUCAGCCCUGGCUGAGCCCUGAGAUCAAGAAAGAACUCCUGAGAUAAGCCACCACGGGUGGCAGCGUUAUUGUCUGCUGCACGCGUACUGCCGCUGUAACUAAAAUGAGCAGCUACUAUGUGCCAGGCACUGGAUGCAACAUUCAACAUAGUAGAAAAAACAAGAAAACAAACAAGGGAAGAUCUCUUAAGAAGCCUGAUCAAUUCAAUUCUAUGAAGAACACAAACAGGAUUAUGUUGUGGACAGUAGUAGGGGCAGCCUCUCUGUUUUGCUGAAAGAGGGCCUCUCUGAAGAGGGACACGUAAAGUGAGACGAUGAAAUUCAAGGAACAAGCCAUCCAGGUGUGAAAGGAAGGGCAGGGUGUGGCAGCAGUGGAGCAGCUUGUGCAAAGGCCCUGCGGUAGGAGAUGGUAGGCAUUCUGAGGAACAGAAAACAAGCCAGUGUGUCUGUGAAGUGGUCAUGCGUGGACCACAUGAACUGGAGGACACAGGUGGGGACAGGUCCUGGGGACUCUUGUUUUUCACAGCCCCAGGGGGUCUGUUGGAGGACUCUAAGCAAGAGAGACAGUGAUCCGAUUGACUCUGGCCUCUUGAGGAGAGGCUGCACGGCGGCAAGAGGAACAGCAGGGACAUGAGAGAGAGCCUGUGGCUAUCACCCCAGUGGAAGAUGGCAGUGGCCAGGGGGGAAGGUCAGACCUGAGAAAGCUGUCAGGUGAAUUAGUCACGUGCCACCAAUUCUUCAGACAUUUCUUCCCCGCUCCCCAUGUCCAGAUGCUCGCAGCUCCAUCUGCACAAACCUGGGUGCCAAGGUCCCCAGCUGCUGCCAGCAGCAGCUCGUGGCUUCCAGCUCGGUCCCAUCAGAGGACACUGUCUUGACCCUAAUGAAGAACCAGAGGUCCUUCAAGCCCAGGGCAUGUGGAAGGCCCCUCAAGUGGCUGCCUGGUCGCAGCACACAUCUGGUGGCACAUGGCUUUCAAGCUGUGCCCUCCCAGGGGCAGCUCUGAACAUGCUCUGCCGCCCAGCACUUAACUUCCUCUCUUUGUCCCCGUUUGUUUGAAUGUCGGCAAAUAGCCUCUUGCAUUUUCUGUCCUUUUAAGCAGAUGUUCCCUGCCUGGGACCUGUGCUCGGCUCCAUGAGAAAGUGAUUCUCAAAUCCAAUUCUGCCCCAGAACUUCCUGCAAGAGCUUCUUAAACAUGCAGACACCAGGCACCCAGACAUGCCAGCCCAAUCAGACCUGCCCAGCAAGGGGCUCCAGCAGCUCUUGUUCCUAAAAUCUCAGGUGACUCCAAGGGACAGCCAGUUUAUAAAUCCACUGACCUGGGAGUUCCCAUUGUGGUUUAGUGGGUUAAGAACCUGACUCGUCUCCGUGAGGAUGCAGGUUCAAUCCCUGGCCUUGUUCAGUUGGGUUAAGGAUCCGGUAUUGCUGCGAGCUGCCACCUGGGUUGAAGAUGCAGCCCGGAUCCAGCAUUGCUGUGGCUGUGGCAUAGGCCAGCAGUUGCAGCUCCAAUUCAACCCCUA